ACUUCGGUGGUGUAGUGGUCAAGACGCUCGACUAGUAAACAGGAGGGCGUGGGUUCCAAUCCCAGUCGAGGUA
rfam:Asian citrus Psyllid, Diaphorina citri - Florida Strain, whole genome shotgun sequence.